rnacentral:lncRNA from 1 species
AGGAUUCUCCCAUUGAGGUUUGUGGAGCUCCAGGUAUGUGACCACUAUCAACGCAUCCUGCAGUUGAGGACAGUCACUGAGAAGAUUUAUUACCUAAAGCUCCAUCCUGACCAUCCUGAGACUGUCUUCCACUUCUGGAUCCGACUGGUUCAAAUUCUGCAAAAGGGGCUGUCCAUCACCACCAAAGACCCUAGGAUUCUUGUCACGCACUGCCUGGUACCCAAGAACUGCAGCAGCCCCUCAGGAGAUUCGAAGUUAGUACAGAAGAAACUCCAAGCCUCCCAGCCCAGCGAGAGUCUCAUUCAGCUAAUGACCAAGGGGGAGAGUGAAGCCCUGUCUCAGAUUUUUGCCGACUUACACCAGCAGAACCAGUUGAGUUUCAGGAGCAGCAGAAAGGUGGAGAC